AACGGCCGUACCAUGCUGAAUAUACCGGUUCUCGUUAGAUCACCGAAGUUAAGCAUCAUUGGGUGGGGUCAGUACUUGGGUGGGUGACCACCUGGGAACACUGCGUGCCGUU
rnacentral:rRNA from 1 species